rnacentral:rRNA from 1 species
UGGGUAACCUGCCUCAAAGAGGGGAAUAGCCUCCCCGAAAAGGGAGAUUAAUACCGCAUAAUAUGUUUAAGUCGCAUGACUUUAACAUCAAAGGAUUUUCUUUUUAGAACUUCCACUUUGAGAUGGACCCGCGGCGCAUUAGCUAGUUGGUGAGGUAACGGCUCACCAAGGCAACGAUGCGUAGCCGACCUGAGAGGGUGACCGGCCACACUGGGACUGAGACACGGCCCAGACUCCUACGGGAGCAG